rnacentral:pre_miRNA from 1 species
UCCACACUCAUGUGUAUAGGACCCCAAAGGAUCACAAUUAAAUUUGGUACAGAUCUCUAGAAAAGUUAUCACAUAGGUAUGAGACUUGACUUUUCCAAAGAUCUGUACCAAAUUUAAUAGUGAUCUUUUGACGUCCUAUACACAUGGGUGUGUG